rnacentral:rRNA from 1 species
ACGCUGGCGGCACGCCUAACACAUGCAAGUCGAACGAAGUAGCAAUACUUAGUGGCGAACGGGUGAGUAUAAUGUAGGUAUCUGCCCUUUGGUUUGGAAUAACACGAGGAAACUUGUGCUAAUACCGGAUAAGCCUUCACAGGGAAAGCUUUAGCGCCAAAGGAUGAGCCUGCACUUGAUUAGCUAGUUGGUAAGGUAAAAGCUUACCAAGGCAACGAUCAAUAGCUGUUCUUAGAGGAAGACCAGCCACAUUGGGACUGAGACACGGCCCAGACUCCUACGGGAGGCAGCAGUGGGGAAUCUUGCACAAUGGGGGAAACCCUGAUGCAGCGAUGCCGCGUGAGUGAAGAAGGCCUUUGGGUUGUAAAGCUCUUUCGUCGGGGAAGAAAAUGACUGUACCCGAAUAAGAAGGUCCGGCUAACUUCGUGCCAGCAGCCGCGGUAAUACGAAGGGACCUAGCGUAGUUCGGAAUUACUGGGCUUAAAGAGUUCGUAGGUGGUUGAAAAAGUUGGUGGUGAAAUCCCAGAGCUUAACUCUGGAACUGCCAUCAAAACUUUUCAGCUAGAGUAUGAUAGAGGAAAGCAGAAUUUCUAGUGUAGAGGUGAAAUUCGUAGAUAUUAGAAAGAAUACCAAUUGCGAAGGCAGCUUUCUGGAUCAUUACUGACACUGAGGAACGAAAGCAUGGGUAGCGAAGAGGAUUAGAUACCCUCGUAGUCCAUGCCGUAAACGAUGUGUGUUAGACGUUGGAAAUUUAUUUUCAGUGUCGCAGGGAAACCG